CCUACGGGGGGCUGCAGUGGGGAAUUUUGGACAAUGGGCGAAAGCCUGAUCCAGCCAUGCCGCGUGCAGGAUGAAGGCCUUCGGGUUGUAAACUGCUUUUGUACGGAACGAAAAGGUCUUUUCUAAUAAAGAAGGCUCAUGACGGUACCGUAAGAAUAAGCACCGGCUAACUACGUGCCAGCAGCCGCGGUAAUACGUAGGGUGCAAGCGUUAAUCGGAAUUACUGGGCGUAAAGCGUGCGCAGGCGGUUAUAUAAGACAGAUGUGAAAUCCCCGGGCUCAACCUGGGAACUGCAUUAGUGACUGUAUAGCUAGAGUGCGGCAGAGGGGGAUGGAAUUCCGCGUGUAGCAGUGAAAUGCGUAGAUAUGCGGAGGAACACCGAUGGCGAAGGCAAUCCCCUGGGCCUGCACUGACGCUCAUGCACGAAAGCGUGGGGAGCAAACAGGCUUAGAUACCCUUGUAGUC
rnacentral:rRNA from 1 species